AUUGAACGCUGGCGGCAGGCUUAACACAUGCAAGUCGAACGCCCCGCAAGGGGAGUGGCAGACGGGUGAGUAACGCGUGGGAACAUACCCUUUUCUACGGAAUAGCUCUGGGAAACUGGAAUUAAUACCGUAUACGCCCUACGGGGGAAAGAUUUAUCGGGGAAGGAUUGGCCCGCGUUGGAUUAGCUAGUUGGUGGGGUAAAGGCCUACCAAGGCGACGAUCCAUAGCUGGUCUGAGAGGAUGAUCAGCCACAUUGGGACUGAUACACGGCCCAAACUCCUACGGGAGGCAGCAGUGGGGAAUAUUGGACAAUGGGCGCAAGCCUGAUCCAGCCAUGCCGCGUGAGUGAUGAAGGCCUUAGGGUUGUAAAGCUCUUUCACCGAUGAAGAUAAUGACGGUAGUCGGAGAAGAAGCCCCGGCUAACUUCGUGCCAGCCGCCGCGGUAACAC
rnacentral:rRNA from 1 species